GCGAGCGUAGCUCAAUGGUAGAGCCUCAGUCUUCCAAACUGAUUACGCGGGUUCGAUUCCCGUCGCUCGCUCCC
rnacentral:tRNA from 2 species